rnacentral:rRNA from 1 species
AUUGAACGCUGGCGGCAUGCUUUACACAUGCAAGUCGAACGGCAGCGCGGGGCAACCUGGCGGCGAGUGGCGAACGGGUGAGUAAUAUAUCGGAACGUACCCAGCCGUGGGGGAUAACGUAGCGAAAGUUACGCUAAUACCGCAUACGAUCUACGGGUGAUAGUAUGGGACCGCAAGGCCUUAUGCUUUUGGAGCGGCCGUUAUCUGAUUAGCUAGUUGGUGAGGUAAAGGCUCACCAAGGCGACGAUCAGUAGCUGGUCUGAGAGGACGACCAGCAACACUGGAACUGAGACACGGUCCAGACUCCUACGGGAGGCAGCAGUGGGGAAUUUUGGACAAUGGGCGCAAGCCUGAUCCAGCAAUGCCGCGUGAGUGAAGAAGGCCUUCGGGUUGUAAAGCUCUUUUGUCAGGGAAGAAACGGUAGAGGCUAAUAUCCUUUGCUAAUGACGGUACCUGAAGAAUAAGCACCGGCUAACUACGUG